GCGGGCAUGCCUGUCCGAGCGUCAUUU
rnacentral:rRNA from 3 species